UACGUAGAGUACAAGCGUUAUCCGGAUUUAUUGGGCGUAAAGCGUAUCGCAGGUGGGUAUGUGCGUGGUAGGUGUAAGACCAAGGCUCAACUUUGGGAACGCUUAUCAUACGGCAUAUCUUGAGUCUGUUGGAGGGAACUGGAAUUCUUCGUGGAGGGGUGAAAUCCGUAGAUACGAAGAGGAACGCCAAGGGUGAAGACAAGUUCCUACGGCAGCACUGACACUCAUGAACGACAGCUAGGGGAGCAAAAGGGAUUAGAUACCCGGGUAGU
rnacentral:rRNA from 1 species